rnacentral:rRNA from 1 species
GAAAUCCCGUCGGAAUCCGGGAGGACCAUCUCCCAACCCUAAAUACUCCCUAGUGACCGAUAGUGAACCAGUACCGUGAGGGAAAGGUGAAAAGCACCCCGGGAGGGGAGUGAAAUAGAACCUGAAACCGUGUGCCUACAACAAGUUCGAGCCCGUUAAUGGGUGAGAGCGUGCCUUUUGUAGAAUGAACCGGCGAGUUACGUUAUGAUGCGAGGUUAAGUUGAAGAGACGGAGCCGUAGGGAAACCGAGUCUGAAUAGGGCGCCUUAGUAUCAUGACGUAGACCCGAAACCAUGUGACCUACCCAUGAGCAGGUUGAAGGUGCGGUAAGACGCACUGGAGGACCGAACCAGGGCACGUUGAAAAGUGCUUGGAUGACUUGUGGGUAGCGGAGAAAUUCCAAACGAACUUGGAGAUAGCUGGUUCUCUCCGAAAUAGCUUUAGGGCUAGCGUCGACAUUAGAGAUUCUUGGAGGUAGAGCACUGUUUGGGUGAGGGGUCCAUCCCGGAUUACCAAUCUCAGAUAAACUCCGAAUGCCAAUGAAUUAUGGUCGGCAGUCAGACUGCGAGUGCUAAGAUCCGUAGUCGAAAGGGAAACAGCCCAGACCACCAGCUAAGGUCCCAAAAUAAUUGUUAAGUGGAAAAGGAUGUGGGGUUGCACAGACAACUAGGAUGUUAGCUUAGAAGCAGCUAUUCAUUCAAAGAGUGCGUAAUAGCUCACUAGUCGAGUGACCCUGCGCCGAAAAUGUACCGGGGCUAAAACAAUUUACCGAAGCUGUGGAUACCUUUAUAGGUAUGGUAGGAGAGCGUUCUAUGUGUGAUGAAGGUGUACCGUGAGGAGUGCUGGAACGCAUAGAAGUGAGAAUGCCGGUAUGAGUAGCGAAAGACAGGUGAGAAUCCUGUCCACCGUAAGACUAAGGUUUCCAGGGGAAGGCUCGUCCGCCCUGGGUUAGUCGGGACCUAAGGAGAGACCGAAAGGUGUAUCCGAUGGACAACAGGUUGAUAUUCCUGUACUAGAGUAUGUAGUGAUGGAGGGACGCAGUAGGCUAACUAAAGCAGACGAUUGGAAGAGUCUGUCUAAGCAGUGAGGUGUGAAUUGAGUCAAAUGCUUAAUUCUAUAACAUUGAGCUGUGAUGGGGAGCGAAGUUUAGUAGCGAAGUUAGUGACGUCACACUGCCAAGAAAAGCUUCUAGCGUUUAAACAUACUCUACCCGUACCGCAAACCGACACAGGUAGUCGAGGCGAGUAGCCUCAGGUGAGCGAGAGAACUCUCGUUAAGGAACUCGGCAAAAUGACCCCGUAACUUCGGGAGAAGGGGUGCUGACUUUAAGUCAGCCGCAGUGAAUAGGCCCAAGCAACUGUUUAUCAAAAACACAGCUCUCUGCUAAAUCGUAAGAUGAUGUAUAGGGGGUGACGCCUGCCCGGUGCUGGAAGGUUAAGAGGAGUGCUUAGCGUAAGCGAAGGUAUGAAUUGAAGCCCCAGUAAACGGCGGCCGUAACUAUAACGGUCCUAAGGUAGCGAAAUUCCUUGUCGGGUAAGUUCCGACCCGCACGAAAGGCGUAAUGAUUUGGGCACUGUCUCAACGAGAGACUCGGUGAAAUUUUAGUACCUGUGAAGAUGCAGGUUACCCGCGACAGGACGGAAAGACCCCAUGGAGCUUUACUGCAGUUUGAUAUUGAGUGUCUGUACCACAUGUACAGGAUAGGUAGGAGUCUAAGAGAUCGGGACACCAGUUUCGAAGGAGACGCUGUUGGGAUACUACCCUUGUGUUAUGGCCACUCUAACCCAGAUAGGUGAUCCCUAUCGGAGACAGUGUCUGACGGGCAGUUUGACUGGGGCGGUCGCCUCCUAAAAGGUAACGGAGGCGCCCAAAGGUUCCCUCAGAAUGGUUGGAAAUCAUUCGCAGAGUGUAAAGGUAUAAGGGAGCUUGACUGCGAGAGCUACAACUCGAGCAGGGACGAAAGUCGGGCUUAGUGAUCCGGUGGUUCCGUAUGGAAGGGCCAUCGCUCAACGGAUAAAAGCUACCCUGGGGAUAACAGGCUUAUCUCCCCCAAGAGUUCACAUCGACGGGGAGGUUUGGCACCUCGAUGUCGGCUCGUCGCAUCCUGGGGCUGUAGUCGGUCCCAAGGGUUGGGCUGUUCGCCCAUUAAAGCGGCACGCGAGCUGGGUUCAGAACGUCGUGAGACAGUUCGGUCCCUAUCCGUCGCGGGCGUAGGAAAUUUGAGAGGAUCUGCUCCUAGUACGAGAGGACCAGAGUGGACUUACCGCUGGUGUACCAGUUGUCUUGCCAAAGGCAUCGCUGGGUAGCUAUGUAGGGAAGGGAUAAACGCUGAAAGCAUCUAAGUGUGAAACCCACCUCAAGAUGAGAUUUCCCAUGAUUAUAUAUCAGUAAGAGCCCUGAGAGAUGAUCAGGUAGAUAGGUUAGAAGUGGAAGUGUGGCGACACAUGUAGCGGACUAAUACUAAUAGCUCGAGGACUUAUCCAA